rnacentral:lncRNA from 1 species
GCUCAGACCGUGUCGUGCCGUGCUGUGCCCAAAUCGUGUCCGUGCCGUGCCCGUGCCGUGCAGUGCCAUGCUGGCAAGGCACACUUGACACCUCUACACAUUACCAAAUCAUACUCAAAUUCCUGUCAGCUUUAAUAGAGAUAUAAGACUCAAUUCUAUGUUAAUUCUCAAGAAUGUCCUGUUUAUUCCUCAGUUCAAGUUUAAUCUACUUUCUGUUAGUGCUCUUACAAAUGGUCAGCUAUAAUAAUUUCUUCCAUGAUUGCUUUCAUUUUUAUCAGGACAUCAAUAGCCGAGGAUGAUUGGCAAGGGUUUAAAAUUUGAAGACCUUUAUGUUCUUGAUACUACUACACUGAAUUCUGUUUCCACAUCAUGUGUAAACAAUGUUUCAACUCAUGUUUGCAUAAUAAACAUCUUGAAACAGCAACUCCACUUCAAGAAUCAAUAAAAUUGAUCCUUGUCAUAUAUGUCCUUUAGCAAAACAAAGAAGACUAUCUUUUGCUUCUCAUAACCAUAUGUCUCCAUUUCCUUUUGAUUUGGUUCAUUGUGACAUUUGGGGAACCUUAUCAUACUCCUUCACAUUCUAGACAUAGAUUUUUCUUGACUUUGGUGGAUGAUUGCACUCGUUGUACACGGAUUUUUUUACUUAAACAGAAGUCUGAUGUUGCUGUCAUUAUUCCCAAAAUUUUCAAUCUGAUAUCUACUCAAUUUAGUGCCAAAAUAAAGGUAUUCAGAUCUGAUAAUUCCAGAGAAUUGGUUUUUGCUGAAUUCUUCAAUGACAAAGGGGUAUUACAUCAAUUCUCUUGUGUAGACAUACCACAUAAAAACUCAGUUGUAGAAAAAAAAUACUAACAUCUGCUCAAUGUUGUUCUGGCCUUGUACUUUCAGUCAAGGGUUCCUAUUAAAUUUUGGAGUGAAUGUGUUCUCACUGCCACUUUUAUCAUUAACAGAACUCCAUCUCCAUUGCUCCACAAUAAAUCUCCUUAUGAGUAAUUUAUAGAACUGAUGUAGAUUACUCAAUAUUCAGAGUUUUUGGUUGCUUAGCCUUUGCAUCCACUCUAAAUGGUCAUAGAACAAAGUUUCAACAAAGAUCUCACGUGUGUGUUCUACUUGGUUAUCCUCCUGGCAUAAAAGGAUACAAGCUAUAUGAUGUUCAGAAUAACUAGAUUUUUAUCUCAAAAGAUGUAAUUUUUCAUGAAGAAAUUUUUCCCUUCCACACUGACUAAAUCAGACAAGUUGGUUGAUCCCUGACCUUGUCUUACCUAUACCAUCUAUGGAACCUGUUGUUUAUCAACACUAAACACCCAUUACAAUUAAAAUUAAUGGUAGGAACUAAAGACUCAAUAUCAAAAUUACUUAUCUUAUAAUUCUCUAUCUGCAUCUCACAAGAACUUUGUUAUGAAUGUCCUUCUCAAUAUGAGCCUCAGUAUUAUCACCAAGCUGUUAAAUUUUCACAAUGGAGGGAUGCCAUGAAAGCUGAAUUAGAUGCUAUAGAAUUCAAUAACACUUGGGCAGUCAUUCCGUUACCGAAAGGGAAACAUUCUAUUGGCUGCAAAUGGUUUUUAAGACUAAAUACAAGUAUGAUGGAUCCAUAGAGAGACACAAAGCUCGUUUGGUUGCUAAAUGUUACACUCAACAAGAAGGGCUUGACUUCAUUGAAACCUUUUCUCCUGUGGCUAAGUUUGUAACUGUCAAAGUCCUAUUAGCUUUUGCCACCAAUCAAAAUUGGCAUUUGAUUCAACUUGAUGUGACAAUGCCUUUCUAAAUGGUGACUUAUUUAAAGAAGUAUACAUGGAUCUUCCUCUUGGCUAUCAUAGUAAGGGGGAGAGGUGCAUACAUGGAGCUAAUUUAGUUUUCAAGCUUCACAAGUCCAUAUAUGAUCUCAAGCAAGCAUCAAGACAGUGGUACUCCAAGUUUUCUCAGAACCUUCUUCAGUUUGGUUUUACUCAAUCUAAAUCUAUUUACUCUCUAUUUACCCUCUAUUUACCAAAGGUUCAUGAUCAUCUUUUAUUGCAUUAUUGGUAUAUGUUGAUGACAGUAUCAUUACUAGUCCAUGUUCUCAAGUUAUUAACUCUCUGAAAUCCUUCAUUCAUAGUCAGUUUAAACUGAAAGAUUUGGGAUGUUUGAAAUAUUUUCAUGGUCUUGAAAUUGCUAAAUCUGUCAAACGGAUUAUUUUAUCUCAAAGACAUUAUACUUUAUAGUUUCUUGAAGAUACAAGAUUCCUUGCUUGCAAGCCUGCUAGUGGUCCAAUGGACCCUAAAAUUCAACAUAAUGCUACUGAUGGUGAUUUGCUCACUGAAUAUGUCUCAUUACGGAUGACUUAUUGGUCGUCUUCUUUACUUCAAAUUUUCCAGGCCUAAUAUCACAUUUGUUGUCCACAAGCUCAGUCAAUAUUUGGCUCAACCUCGUUCCCCAUCUGCAAGCUGCUCAUCAUCUUCUCAUAUAUCUAAAAUCCAAUCCUGGUCAGGGAUUAUUCUUCUCUUCGUCUUCACCUCAAGGCCUUCUCUGAUGCAGAUUGGGGUUCUUGUUUGGAUACUAGAAAGUCCGUUACUGGGUUUAUAUAUUCAUUGGUGAUUCCUUAGUCUCAUGGAAAGCUAGGAAACAAACUACAAUUUCCAGAUCUUCUACAGAAGUAGAAUAUAGAGUAUUAGCUUCUACUGCUAGUGAAUUGGUUUGGAUACAUCAGUUGCUAAAAUAUUUUCAGAUUGAUGUUUCAUCUCCAGCUCUUCUUUUUUGUGAUAACCAGGCUGCUAUUCAUAUUACUUCAAAUCUAACCUUUUAUGAAAGGACUAAAUAUAUAGAGAUCAAUUGCCACUUCAUUUGUGAUAAAAUUACCAAAGGAUUUAUCAUACUUAUGCUUAUUCAAUCUCAACAUCAACUAGCUGAUUUUUUACCAAAGCUUUACCAACUUCUUCCCUGUUUCCACUCUUAUCCAAGAUGGAUGUGAAAGACAUUCACUGUCCAUCUUGAGGGGGAGUAUUAAAUCUCAUAUAAAUAAUUAGUUAUCCAUUUAAGUAGUUAGAGUAACCUUAUCUUGAUUUUGUAAAUAAUACUAGUAUAAAUACACAAUGUAACAGAAGUUCAAUAGAUAUACAAGAAAUUCUCUUUUCUUCUCAUUUCGAAUUUGUUAAGGGAAGCCAAAGCCUUUCAUGGGGCAUGUCCAAAGUGUGGACAGAGCGACAUUGUUGCAUCCCCAACAAUAACUAGUCUAUUGAAGCUUCCAUGAUGAUUCUUUGCUGGUGUGGGAAAUUUCACAUGGUCAAUCUGCAAUGUAAACAUCUUAAUUUUCUUGGAAAAUUAAGAUGAGUGGAAUAGGGUAGGGGGUGUAUCACUAACGCACCGAUAAGAUUCAUAAUAGAGUGUAGAUUUCCAAGUCCAUAGGUAAAAUUUUCCUCCACUCACUCCAUUGUAACGACUGAACCGCUUUGCAGUGUGCUAAGUUUAUAUAGGAAAUUUUCACGAGGGUCAGGUUUAUUACAUUCACAGUCAUUUUAGUGUAGCUACUCUUCUUCUAAGCACUCUGAAACAAGACAUGAUAAAAGGGCACAAGACCUUGACCUUAUCAAAUCUGUAUAAUUGAUCAUAACUUUCCCCCCCUAAUGAGUGUUAGUGGAAAAAAGGGACCCAAGAUGUCUUCAAAGUCUUCCUUAAGUGUAAAAUCAUAGCCAGAAUAACGCAAGAAGGACCUUUAGGAAAAAGUUACCCUGCUGUUUCCAUAGUCCGUUUGUUUUGUCGUCUGUAAGCAGGUUCUUCGAAAGCUUUUCAUUCUCUCGUUCCCUAAUCUUGCAAUAUGGAUUCUGUAUCAAUCAACUCUCUGGUCCAUCCCACUCAAAUUGGUUCACCUCUCCAAGCUCGUUUACCUUGAUUUGUCCCCUCCACCCAAUCAAUUUUCGGGGAACAUUCCCAAGAAAUUGGCCUAGUUAACAAAUUUCGAAACCUUCCAGCUGUUCGAAAACCAGUUGAAUGGAUCAAUCCUCAAGAGAUAAGCAGUUUUAACGUUGUUUCAGGGCUUUGCCUUUUGUACACCAAUCGUUCAGUGGUCCCAUGCCUGCUUCUUGGUAAUUUUGAGCAACUUGAUUGGACUUUCUAUUCUUACGAAAAUCAACUUUCAGGCUCCAUCCCACCAGACAGAAAUAGGAAAUCCGUUAAUCUCGUGUUGCUUUUCAUGGAUCAUAACAAUCUAAACAGGUCAUUCCUUCAACUUUCGUGAAACAUGAAUUAGACUAAAUGUGUUAGCCCUGUUAUGUGAACCAACUUUCUGGUUCCAUUCCUCAAGAAUUCGGAAAAACUUGAAGUCCCCUCACCAAUUUAGAAUUGACCCAGAAUCAACUCUCAUGGAAUAUUCCUGCCUCAUAGGGAACCUGUCCAAAUUAGAAAACGCUCUUUCUUGCAUAUCAACAACGUUCGGGCUCAAUUUCAAACAGAAUUCGGCAAUUUGAAAAAAACUUGCUUUUAUUGGUAAUGGAUACAAAUCAGUUAUCUGGCCAUCUACCGGAAUUUGGCCAAGGUGGGAAACUUCAAAAAAUCAUGUUUGCAAAAACAAUCAGCUCAAGGGACCAAUCCCCAAAAGCUGGAAGAGACUGUCAAGCUUAGUCAGGAGUCCCCGCCGGAAGGAAAAACCAAUUCACUGGAAGCAUAUUCUGAAGCCUUUGGUUGUCUAUCCAAAUCUAAAACUACUUGGAUCUAAGUCGCAAAACUUUCUAUGGUGGAAACUCAAAAAAAACUGGAGUAGUAGCUGCCCCCCGGAUGCCCAAACUUGAUGAUGGCAGGGAACAACAUCACGGUAGUAUACCACCAGAGUUGGGAGAUUCGCCUCACUUGCAAAGGCUAAUCUUUCUUCCAAUCAUUUGAUUGGGGAGAUCCCAAAGGAAUUGGGAAGAGUUGAAUCUUGCAGAACUCUAUCUGACAGACACCACCAACAUUCUGGCAGUAUACAACAGCACUGGAUUGAUGACUAAACUGUUGAAGCUGACCUGUAAAAAACCAGAUAGGGGGCCCAAAUUGCAGCUGGAAAUUGGAGAAUGCAGGCAACUGAUUAACUUGAAGUUUGAGCAGCAAUACAUUUUAGCCUGACAUCCCAGAGCAGUGAGUAAUUACCUCAAACUUCGACCCUGGAUCGAGGUCACAAUUCACUCUCAGGUGAGAUACCAUGACAGAUCGGAAGUUUCCAGAGUUGGAGUGGUUGAGCCUCUCCCCCUUAAUAAUAUUUUGGUCCAUUCCAAGGGCAUUUGAAGACCAGCAUUGGUUUGCAGCACGUUUUGAUAGAUCCUACAAUGAGUUAGAGGGGCCAUUCCCACCAGCAAAGCCUUUUAUGAUGCUUUCAUAAGAGGGCACUGCAAGGAAACAAAGAUUUGUGUGGAAAAUGUACAGGAUUUCAGCCUGCAAAAAUAUUGUCUAGAGAAACAAAAAGACUCACGGCAUAACCGGACUCUUAUCUUGUAAUCAGCUCCCUCUUGGCGGAGCACUUUACUUCUAGGUGCGUCUGCGGAUUAUGAUGGAUGGAUUAGAAAGAAAGAAAAAGCAAGAAAAAGGGUGCCACGAUUGGGAUCUUUCUCCAUUCAAUAUACGAUGCAACAGCAAUGUAUAUGACAUCCUCAAGGCUAACCAAUAACUUUGAUCCUAUAUAUUGCAUAGGAAAGAGAGGAUUAUCGAAAUUAGAGUCAAGCUUUUCCGGGUUCUGUUCGUGUGCCCAACACUCUAUUUUGGUUUAUGAGUACCUCGAAAGGGGUAGCUUGGCUACAAUUUGCGCAGAGAUGAGAAGCUCAACAAUUUAGAUUGUCCAAAGAGAGUUAAUAUUGUCAAGGGUGUGGCGCAUCGCUUUAGCAAUAUGCACCAUGAUUGCGCACCCCCAAUUGUUCACGAGAAUAUCAAGCAGCAAUGUUUGAUUGAAAAGAGUUUGAGGCUCGUGAUCAGACUUUUGGCCACAGCUUAGCGUCUGAAGCCUGAUUCCUCUAAUUGGAGUGCACUUAAAGGCAUGUACGGAUAUGUUGCACCAGGUAACCGUAGUUUUAUAUGCUCCUAAAUUGACAUAGAAUCUAUUAAUUCACAGAUAGAUGAACAUUUCUUUGUCUCUGUCUCUCUCUCGUUUUCAGAGUUUGCUUAUACAAUGAAGGUGACUGAAAAGUGUGAUGUAUAUAACUUUGGAGUGUUAGCACUGGAAGUGAUCAAAGGAAGCCAUCCAGGAGAUUUUGUUUCCUCCUGGCAACCCAGCAGUGGGAAAAAUACAGCUGAAAGAGUAAUGGAUCAACGUCUUUUACCUCCCUCUACUCCAAGGAGGAGUAUAAUGUGCAUCAUGGCUUAUAUAGUUCAGGGAAAGGGAGGCUCACCCUACUGUAGGGUAACCCCAAGGAAACUUAGAACAAAAAUAGAGGCCUGCAAAACCAUGCAAAUCGUUUCUCAACUGUUAUCGGCCAGAACAAUUUUCUAAGUGCCUCAAAGAUGAUGUACCGAAAAUGUAAAGCUAUUUUUUCAUUAAUGAUGUAUUAGUAUCAAAUAGAUUAUACCAUCUGGCAAUUGUGUAUGUAUAUUUAUUGUCCACUUUAGGGUACUUAAUCAUACAGAUCAUAUAUAUAACAGGUUGUUGGCUUGUACUUUUAAUACUGUCUGAGAAAAAGAUAUAGCCAUUAUGCAAUUUUCGAUAUAUAGCGAUUAAAUUACACCAGAGGUCUUUGUAAAAUAAUCAGUUAUUUGGUCUGCUUAGUCUCGAUUGCACUAGAGAGGUGACUCUAUUCCCACCCUUUUUUGAUUCUUAGUACCCAAACCUUUCUCAGGACACCAUUUAAAAUAAACAAGGCUUUCCUUCUUAUUCCCAAACCGCCCUAUUUUCAACCUCCAAACCCUGGCAUAGUGAUUGAGGUUCUCACUUACUAGGUUCGAUAACUAGGUUUGAGUCUUAUCAUUGCAAGAUAUAACUUCUCUUCCCCUCUCCCCUCCGAAAGAUUGGCUAUAAAAAAAAGAAGAAAAACCUCCAAACCCCAGCCCGAGCCUAAUCCCAAUCCACCAAUGCAGCCACUGAUCCCCACCACCACCCUUAGUUCCUCUCUUGUCGUCACCACUACUCCACCAUCCUCCCCUAACCACUCCCACCCUUUUCCAGCCACUGCCGACCACUCUUCCAUAUCUGCCACUGUUCACCCCUCCCCAACCCAUCUCUGCCACCUCUGCCCAUUCCGGGCCCGUUGGUGAUUCAAUCCACCAUACGGUCCACCAUAAACUUCCCUUCACAAUCUAAGUACAAGGAUACGGAUACCCAACACAGCCAAGAAAACAAUAGGAACACAUGGAUAUGUAAUUUUUCUAAAAAUUGGGACAUGGACACGCCCUUGUACUAAGAACGUUCAAAUUCUUAAUUAAUUUUUAUAGUGUCGAAUCUCUUUCUCCAAGAAAACGGGGACAAUGUGACGGCUGCCAAUCACUAUAUACACAUUGUAUAACUCAAGGACCUCACAGGUUGGUGGUGUAAAAAUUGGAUCUAUCUAAUGGCAAUUUCCUAAAGACAAUAAAUAUGGGAAUCCCUCUCCCCAUCUGCUCUCUCCUCUUUCUUUAUCUAUCCAUCACCCUCUCUCUUUCUAUACAUACUGCAUUUAGAAGUGUAUAUGUAUAAGCAUAGAUACAUAUAUAUUCACUCUUGCUAAACUGAAAAACUUCCUGGCCUGCUAGCUAUUUGGACAAUUUCCUAUUCUUACUGAAUCUAACGGAUCCCUUACUUGAAGAUUAAAAGCUAGGUACGUUUGUUUGAAGUAAUAAUCAUAGUGCGACACACAUUUGCUUCUUGUAAUCAUAUCAAAUCUUUUUUAGUUUAAAUGAAUUCCCAGCUAGAAGCUAAGGCCACCAAAUUAUUCAAACAGGAAACUUGAUUUACUCAUAACACUACAGGAAAUCAACUAAAAAAAAACUAAUUAACCAGAUUCUCAUAUGGGUUCGUAUGCUAAUAAACACUUUUGGGCUGUGCAUACAUUUAAUGCACAAAUUUAAACAACGUAAACUAUAUAUGACUUCGAUUCAGUUUAUGGAUAAGGAAGCGAUUAAUUUGUUACCAGGCAAAAUCGCUGACAUCAAUUCAAACGGCGAUAAGGUCAGGCACUACACAGCAUAAUUGAUUUUCCUUCAAAACUUGUGCUAUGCUAGUGACAAUAUUGCUAAAGGCUUGGAUAGUCAUUGUAGAACUCACCCUUUCAAGUUGAACUUCAUGUCAAACUUUAAUUGCAAACUUUUAGGUAGACAUUCUUGAAUGAAACUAGAUUCAUGAAGUGAACCGUUAAUAGAAAUUUUUGUAACCGUUAAUACAAAAUGAGAAUUGGCCGCCAGUAUUUGACAAAACAGGAUUCUCCAAGUUUUGUAGAAUUUCAAGUCCUUUUGCUCUCUGUACCGAAAACAAAUGCGCUACACCUCAUCUCUCCACUGUCAAUUUCACAUUUUUGAUCUUUGGUCCCUUGUUCCAUCGUUCACUUGAUUUUUGUCUACCAGUAUUUUUGUCAAUUGUAUACCAGAGAAUGUAAGCUCACUCACACAUUUUAAUCCCAACUCUUUGUUAUUUUAUCUUAUGGCUCUAUCUAUAAUUAAAAAUUUAAUUUCAAAAAUAAUCCCUAAUUGUGUCCCUUAAUGAGUAUAAUUGAACCUAAAAUAGAUAACAACUAUAAAUUUUAAAUCUUUCCAAAACGAAAUUAUGGGAAUGGGUAUUCAAUUUUUCCACAAUGUUAAAUAACAAAAUAUACUCUUGUUUGCGAAAAUAAUUCUUAGCCUUGUGGUAAGUAGUUAGCGUUAGUCUCCAAGUCUCCAAGUCAGGCUCUAUAACUAUUCUCUACCAUUAUUUUCAAUUUUUCUAUUUUCUUUAAUUUCAUGAUCCACUUUGGGUGGUGAAUAUUUUGCGGACUUUAAAUACUACAAUUUUUUUAGUUCCACAAUUCAUUCAGGUUAUCUUAUAAAAAAAUAAAAUUUAAUCUGUCAAUGCCCUUUAAUUUCAAAACCCAAAAAGCUAUUUUUAUAGGUUGAUACUUAGAAGUUAUUUGAUUUUGAUUUCAUGAUCUUUGAUCAAACACAUGAGAAGAAGCAUUGAGUUGAAAUGUAUAGGGUGAAAAACCUUGAUUAUAAACUUAAUUAGUUAUUUACUUUAUUUACAAUUAAAAAUAUGAUAAGGGCAACGUAUAAAUGAUAUUCCACUUUGGUUGUAGCUAAUUUAAUUGUUUCUAUUAUCACUGUUUUAGAUUUUUUUUAAAUUUUUUUGUCAACUAUUUUUUAUAACAAAAAUUGAAGUCAAACUUGCCUAGAUAUGGUCUUUUGACUUCAAUUUUUUUUUUAAAAAAAAUAGUUAAUGACAAAAAAUAAGAAAAUCUAAAACAAUGAUUGUAGAAAAAAAAUUAAAUGAGCGACAAUAUUUUUAAUUGUAACUUAAGUAAAUAACCAAUUAAACUUGUAAUUAAAAUUUUAAUCAUAUACUUUCAAUAGGUGAAGUAGUUAUUUAUUCAAUGUUUUUUAUGAAGUGUUUGAAGGAACAUGGGUGAAAUUAAAAUCAAUAAUUUUGAACUUUUAUCAAUAAAAAUAGUUUUUUUGGUCUUGGUAUUAAAGGUAUAGCCUGAUAUGAUUUUUCUUUUUGAUGGGAUAACCGGAGUGUAGUGAUGAGGAAUUAAUAAAACUAUUUUAAUUAUUAAAGCCUAAAAAAAUUAUAAUCAACCUUUAUCAAUAAAAAUAGUUUUUUUUGGCUUGGUAUUAAAGGUAGUCUGAUAUGAUUUUUUUUUCUUUUUUAGAUGGGAUAGCCGGAGUGGAUUGGCGAAUUAAUAAAAUGUAGUAAUUGAAGCCUAAAUUUUUUUUAUGUAAAAUGGUAGGAGGGCCCCACAGUAUUAUAAAAUUACAAGAAUUAAAAAAAAUUCCAAAGAAUAGGCAAAGAACAACUCAAAAUGGGUGUUUGAUGCAACUUGUUAGCAACUUUUAUUUUUUCCAUUUGAAAAUUGUACUACAAUGUUUGUCACAGUAAAACUAACUACGUAGCACAAGAUCAAGUGUUAAA